rnacentral:rRNA from 1 species
UAAGGAAUAUUGGUCAAUGGGCGGAAGCCUGAACCAGCCAUGCCGCGUGCAGGAUGACUGCCCUAUGGGUUGUAAACUGCUUUUGUCCAGGAAUAAACCUAGAUACGUGUAUCUAGCUGAAUGUACUGGAAGAAUAAGGAUCGGCUAACUCCGUGCCAGCAGCCGCGGUAAUACGGAGGAUCCGAGCGUUAUCCGGAUUUAUUGGGUUUAAAGGGUGCGUAGGCGGCCUAUUAAGUCAGGGGUGAAAUACGGUGGCUCAACCAUCGCAGUGCCUUUGAUACUGAUGGGCUUGAAUCCAUUUGAAGUGGGCGGAAUAAGACAAGUAGCGGUGAAAUGCAUAGAUAUGUCUUAGAACUCCGAUUGCGAAGGCAGCUCACUAAGCUGGUAUUGACGCUGAUGCACGAAAGCGUGGGGAUCGAACAGGAUUAGAUACCCUGGUAGUCCACGCCCUAAACGAUGAUAACUCGAUGUUGGCGAUAGACAGCCAGCGUCCAAGCGAAAGCGUUAAGUUAUCCACCUGGGGAGUACGCCCGCAAGGGUGAAACUCAAAGGAAUUGACGGGGGCCCGCACAAGCGGAGGAGCAUGUGGUUUAAUUCGAUGAUACGCGAGGAACCUUACC